GGGUUGUGAGGUUAAGCGACUAAGCGUACACGGUGGAUGCCCUGGCAGUCAGAGGCGAUGAAGGGCGUGCUAAUCUGCGAUAAGCGCCGGUAAGGUGAUAUGAACCGUUAUAACCGGCGAUACCCGAAUGGGGAAACCCAGUGUGAUUCGUCACACUAUCAUUAACUGAAUCCAUAGGUUAAUGAGGCGAACCGGGGGAACUGAAACAUCUAAGUACCCCGAGGAAAAGAAAUCAACCGAGAUUCCCCCAGUAGCGGCGAGCGAACGGGGAGGAGCCCAGAGCCUGAAUCAGCAUGUGUGUUAGUGGAAGCGUCUGGAAAGGCGCGCGAUACAGGGUGACAGCCCCGUACACAAAAGCGCAUGUGCUGUGAGCUCGAUGAGUAGGGCGGGACACGUGGUAUCCUGUCUGAAUAUGGGGGGACCAUCCUCCAAGGCUAAAUACUCCUGACUGACCGAUAGUGAACCAGUACCGUGAGGGAAAGGCGAAAAGAACCCCGGCGAGGGGAGUGAAAAAGAACCUGAAACCGUGUACGUACAAGCAGUGGGAGCACCCUGUGUGACUGCGUACCUUUUGUAUAAUGGGUCAGCGACUUAUAUUCUGUAGCAAGGUUAACCGAAUAGGGGAGCCGGAGGGAAACCGAGUCUUAAUUGGGCGUUAAGUUGCAGGGUAUAGACCCGAAACC
rnacentral:rRNA from 1 species